rnacentral:rRNA from 1 species
GACGAACGCUGGCGGCGUGCUUAACACAUGCAAGUCGAACGGAAAGGCCCCCUUGUGGGGUACUCGAGUGGCGAACGGGUGAGUAACACGUGAGUAACCUACCCUUGACUUUGGGAUAACUUCAGGAAACUGGGGCUAAUACCGGAUAGGAGCUCCUGCUGCAUGGUGGGGGUUGGAAAGUUUCGGCGGUUGGGGAUGGACUCGCGGCUUAUCAGCUUGUUGGUGGGGUAGUGGCUCACCAAGGCUUUGACGGGUAGCCGGCCUGAGAGGGUGACCGGCCACAUUGGGACUGAGAUACGGCCCAGACUCCUACGGGAGGCAACAGUGGGGAAUAUUGCACAAUGGGCGGAAGCCUGACGCAGCAACGCCGCGUGCGGGAUGACGGCCUUCGGGUUGUAAACCGCUUUCGCCUGUGACGAAGCGUGAGGGACGGUAAUGGGUAAAGAAGCACCGGCUAACUACGU